rnacentral:lncRNA from 10 species
CCUGCCUUCUUGGGCUGGCCUCCGUGGGCCCGCAGUGCUCCGUGCGUGGGAACCAGGGACGGAUCCACUGGACCCCGUGUGCCUCGACCUCCCAUUUCAGGCCCUCCUGCCGCCUUGGGCUGGCCGCCAUGGGCCGAGACGCUAGAUAGGUGGAAACCAGGGGUGCCAAGGGUCCCCUGGGCCACACACAUGCCCGGUGAGGGGGCUCUUUCGCCCGUGCGUUGGGACCUCUGCCUCGCCAUUUGUGUUUUCCUUCUACAACAGAGCUGCCUCGACCUCCCCUUUCAAGCCUUCCUGCAGCUUUGGGCUUGACGCCUGGGCCUGAGGUACUCUGAGGGCGUGAACCAGGGACGCCCAGGUUCCCCUUGGUCCCACGCAUGCGGGGUAGGGAGGCACUUUCGCUCGUGGCUGGGGACCGAUACCUCGCCGUUUGCAUUUUCCUUCCACUACACAGGGAUCUCGGUCUCCCGUUUCAAGCCUUCCUGCUCUCUUGGGCUGGCCUCCGUGGGCUCAAGGCAUUCAGUGGGCACGAACCAGGGAUGUCCUGUGUGCCCUUGCCCCUGAGCAUUCGCGGUGGGGGGCAUUUUCGCUGGUGGAAGGGGACCUCUGCCUCCCCGUUUUUGUUUUCCUUCCACAACACAGGUGCCUCGCCCUCCUCUUUCAAGCAUUCCUGAUGCCUUGCGCUGGCCCCCGGGGGCCCGAUGCACUCCAUGGGCGUGAACAAGGGAUGCCCAGGGUCCCCUG